GACGAACGCUGGCGGCGUGCUUAACACAUGCAAGUCGAACGAUAAGGCCCUUCGGGGUACACGAGUGGCGAACGGGUGAGUAACACGCGGGUGAUCUGCCCUGCACUUCGGGAUAAGCCUGGGAAACUGGGUCUAAUACCGGAUAGGACUCCUGGCUUCAUGGUUGGGGGUGGAAAGCUUUUGCGGUGUGGGAUGGGCCCGCGGGCUCUCAGCUUGUUGGUGGGGUAAUGGCCUUCCAAAGCGACGACGGGUAGCCGGCCUGAGAGGGUGACCGGUCACACUGGGACUGAGAUACGGCCCAGACUCCUACGGGAGGCAGCAGUGGGGAAUAUUGCACAAUGGGCGCAAGCCUGAUGCAGCGACGCCGCGUGAGGGAUGACGGCCUUCGGGUUGUAAACCUCUUUCAGCUAUGACGAAGCGCAAGUGACGGUAGUAGCAGAAGAAGGACCGGCCAACUACGUGCCAGCCGCCGCGGUAA
rnacentral:rRNA from 1 species